rnacentral:misc_RNA from 1 species
AAGUCGUAACAAGGUUUCCGUAGGUGAACCUGCGGAAGGAUCAUUAACACGUAUCCAACGUUAAACAACCCUGUGAACUUUCAACGCUCUUGUAGCCCCAGAGGAACAGCAAUCCCGGUAAAUCAAUGGCGGAAAAGUUUUGAUUCGGGACCUCUGUCCAAAAGGUAUCAAGUUACAAUCGAGCAGAGCAGUGGCAUGGUUUCCCUAAGCAGUGCAGAAGGAUCCACUGAGUAAGGAUAACGCAUCACGGUUGCCAGAGGUCGAUCACCAUAAAAACCGAACAACUGUUAACAAUGGAUAUCUUGGUUCUC